ensembl:lncRNA novel transcript, antisense to NAB1
GCGAGCGGGAACCGGGGCUGCGCGCGGCGCUUGCGGGCCAGCUGGAGUUCCGGGUGGGCGUGGGCUUGGCGGGCCCCGCACUCGGAGCAGCCGGCCGGCCCGGCCGGCCCUGCCGGCCCCGGGCAAUGAGGGGCUUAGCACCCGGGCCAGCGGCUGCGGAGGGUGUACUGGGUCCCCCAGCAGUGCCGGCCCACCGGCGCUGCACUCGAUUUCUCACCGGGCCUUAGCUGCCUUCCCGCGGGGCAGGGCUCGGGACCUGCAGCCCGCCAUGCCUGAGCCUCCGACCCCCUCCGUGGGCUCCUGUGCGGCCCGAGCCUCCUUGACGAGCGCCACCCCCUGCUCCAUGGCGCCCAGUCCCAUCGACCACCCAAGGGCUGAGGAGUGCGGGCGAACAACGCGGGACUGGCAGGCAGCUCCAUCUAUCUGCAGCCCCGGUGCGGGAUCCACGAGGUGAAGCCAUCUGGGCUCCUGAGUCUGGUGGGGACGUGGAGAACCUUUAUGUCUAGCUCAGGGAUUGUAAAUACACCAAUCAGCACUCUGUAUCUAGCUCAAGGUUUGUAAAAACACCAAUCAGCACCCUGUGUCUAGCUUAGGGUUUGUGAAUGCACCAAUCGACACUCUGUAUCUAGCUACUCUGGUGAGGCCUUGGAGAACCUUUGUGUCCACACUCUGUAUCUAGCUAAUCUGGUGUGGACUUAGAGAACCUUUCUGUCUAGCUCAGGGAUUGUAAAGGCACCAAUCAGCGCCCUGUCAAAACAGACCACUGGGCUCUACCAAUCAGCAGGAAGUGGGUGGGGCCAGAUAAGAGAAUAAAACCAGGCUGCCUGAGCUAGUAGUGGCAACCAGCUUGCGUCCGUUUCCAUGUUGUGGGAGAUUUGUUCUUUCGCUCUUUGUGGUAAAUCUUGCUACUGCUCACUCUUUGAGUCCACACUGCUUUUAUGAGCUGUAACACUCACCGGGAAGGUCUGCAGCUUCAAUCCUGAAGCCAGCGAGGCCACCAGCCCACCGGGAGGAACGAACAACUCCAGACGCACCGCCUUAAGAGCUGUAACACUCACCGCGAAGGUCUGCAGCUUCACUCCUGAGCCAGCGAGACCACGAACCCACCAGAAGAAAGAAACUCCGAACACAUCCGAACACCAGAAGGAACAAACUCCAGACGCGCCAACUGUAACACUCACCGCGAGGAUCCGUGGCUUCAUUCUUGAAGUCAGUGAGACCAAGAACCCACCAAUUCCGGACACACUAAAAUAGCUGCUGCCCCACUCCUGUGCCAAAAUCUGCUCCAAGGGAUCCUAUCCUAGUCAGAAGGCUGUACUCUGAAUGCUGAUAUUAGCUACAACACCAAGGCUUCCCACUAUACAAACUGGAUCCUCAAAGUCAUCCACACCAAAUGAACUCUCUAUUCUUUCUCCCAGUAGCCUGAGAACUGGGUUUACCAGCCUUGGCCCUUCCUUUCCUUCUAGCCUCAAAACAGGAUGGGAACAGAGUCUUUGGCUGUGAGAAUGGGCUCAAUAACAAAAUAAAGAUGACAGAAGAGUCAGUGACUUCAAUGACAGAGCGAUAGAAAUUACCAAUAUAAACGGAGAGAAAAGAGAUUUUUUAAAAAUGAACAAAUCCCCAAGGACCUGUGAGACAAUAACUGUGUUAGGUUUUCUAAACUUACAAGUGUUUUUAUUUAUAUAUGGUAAGCAACUAUGCAUUAUUUGUGUCAGAAUUAUUUUUUGUAUAUAUUUAAGGUAUACAACAUGAUGUCUCAACAUACUUAUAUGUAGUGAAAUGGUUACUACAGUCACCACACUUAUUGUCUCACAGGUUAUUGUCUUCAGAAGGAGAGUAAAAAGAAUGCUGGGUAGAAGAAAUACCUGAAGAAAUAAUGGCCCAACCUCAAAUUUGGUGAAAGACAUAAACUUACAGAUUCAAGAAACUGAGUGUUCCCCAAACAGAAUAAACUUUAAAGAAUCCACACUCAAACACAUCAUAAUCAAACUUCUGAAAACUAACAACAAAGAAAAACUUAAAAUCAGCAAGAGAGAAACCACACAUUAUCAACUGAUGAAAAGUGACUCAAGUGACAGCAGAUUUAUAAUCAGAAACUUGAAGGACAGAAGGAAGAGGCAAAACAUUUUGAAAGCCCUAAAAGGAAAGAACUGUCAACCCAGAAUUCGACAUCCAGUAAAAAUAUCCGUCAAGAAUGAAUAUGAAGGAAAGCUAAGAAUGAAUAUAUCUUCUAUUUCUUUGCUAAAUUUUUCUACUUUUUCAUUUGAUGUAAGAGUGUUUAUAAGUGCUUAUGGAGCAUUUUUAUGAUAGUUGGUUUACAAUCCUUGUCUGAGAGUAGCUAUGUGAGAUGACGUAUAUAGUAAAUGGUGACUGUAGUAACCAUUUCACUACAUAUAAGUAUGUCAAAACAUGUUGUACACCUUAAAUAUACACAAAAAAUAGCUCUGACACAAAAAAUGCAUAGUUGUUAUUACCAUGUAUAAAUAAAAAUACUUGUAAGUUUAGAAAAUAAAAUCAUUGUCU